CGCGGCCUAUCAGCUUGUUGGUGGGGUAGUGGCCUACCAAGGCGACGACGGGUAGCCGGCCUGAGAGGGUGACCGGCCACACUGGGACUGAGACACGGCCCAGACUCCUACGGGAGGCAGCAGUGGGGAAUAUUGCGCAAUGGGCGGAAGCCUGACGCAGCGACGCCGCGUGGGGGAUGACGGCCUUCGGGUUGUAAACCUCUUUCAGCAGGGACGAAGCGAGAGUGACGGUACCUGCAGAAGAAGCACCGGCCAACUACGUGCCAGCAGCCGCGGUAAUACGUAGGGUGCAAGCGUUGUCCGGAAUUAUUGGGCGUAAAGAGCUCGUAGGCGGUCUGUCGCGUCGGCUGUGAAAUCCCGAGGCUCAACCUCGGGUCUGCAGUCGAUACGGGCAAACUGGAGUACUGCAGGGGAGACUGGAAUUCCUGGUGUAGCGGUGAAAUGCGCAGAUAUCAGGAGGAACACCGGUGGCGAAGGCGGGUCUCUGGGCAGUAACUGACGCUGAGGAGCGAAAGCGUGGGGAGCGAACAGGAUUAGAUACCCUGGUAGUCCACGCCGUAAACGUUGGGCGCUAGGUGUGGGGCUCAUUCCACGAGUUCCGUGCCGCAGCUAACGCAUUAAGCGCCCCGCC
rnacentral:rRNA from 1 species